GCCUGAGGAAAUUCCCGGCUUGACAGACGACAACAAGCCUCGCCGCCUCGGCCCGAAACGUGCUUCCAACAUCCGGAAACUAUUUAAUCUCGAGAAAAAAGAUGACGUGAAACAGUUUGUAGUUCGCAGGACUGUGAAAGAAGGGAACAAGAAGACGAAGGCACCGAAAAUCCAGCGUUUAGUCACAAGUUCGAUGCUGCAGCGUAAAAGAUUUUUCCGUAGCCAGACGCGCAAGAAGAUGGUGGUCGCUAAGGAGUUGAAGGCCGACUAUGCAAAGCGCCUAUCUGAAUACAGGCAGGAACAGAAGGAG
rnacentral:ribozyme from 1 species